UACGAAGGGGGCUAGCGUUGCUCGGAUUGACUGGGCGUAAAGGGCGCGUAGGCGGUUCGUACAGUCAGACGUGAAAUUCCUGGGCUCAACCUGGGAACUGCGCUUGAUACGGCAGAGCUAGAGGAUGGAAGAGAGUCGCGGAAUUCCCGAGUGUAGAGGUGAAAAUUCGUAGAUAUUGGGAAGAACACCGGUGGCGAAGGCGGCUUCUGGACAAAUACCGACGCUGAGGCACGAAAGCUAGGGGAGCAAACAG
rnacentral:rRNA from 1 species